rnacentral:rRNA from 1 species
GACGAACGCUGGCGGCGUGCCUAAUACAUGCAAGUCGAGCGGAAGUUGGAGAGCUUGCUCUUCAACUUUAGCGGCGGACGGGUGAGUAACACGUGGGCAACCUGCCCUGCAGAUCGGGAUAACUCCGGGAAACCGGUGCUAAUACCGAAUAGUUUUCGCCACCUCCUGGUGGCGUACGGAAAGACGGUUUCGGCUGUCACUGCAGGAUGGGCCCGCGGCGCAUUAGCUAGUCGGUGGGGUAACGGCCCACCAAGGCGACGAUGCGUAGCCGACCUGAGAGGGUGAUCGGCCCCACUGGGACUGCGACACGGCCCAGACUCCUACGGGAGGCAGCAGUAGGGAAUCGUCCGCAAUGGACGAAAGUCUGACGGAGCAACGCCGCGUGAGUGACGAAGGUUUUCGGAUCGUAAAACUCUGUUGUGAGGGAAGAACAAGUACCACUUAACUACUGGUACCUUGACGGUACCUCACCAGAAAGCCACGGCUAACUACGUGCCAGCCGCCGCAGUAAGAC